AAAGACAGUACACCAAGAGGAAGCGGUCGCGACACAAGUGGUGGGAAACAAUCUGUUCGCAAUAGAGGAAAGGUAAACUGGUGUGCUUAUGAUGGACGGCCAAUUCACUGCACGUAUUAAAGAGUUUUGUGUUAACUCACUUUCGGAUGUUCAUCACUUGUGGUUGACUGGAUGAACCUCGGAAUGGCUACACUGUACUCUAUUGCAGAACUAUACUCAGAACCUUCGGAGGACACCAUAGAGUAACUUUGUUAUUUUUGGCUGAAAUUAUUCAAAUAAAUCCAUAAAAAC